rnacentral:misc_RNA from 1 species
AAGUCGUAACAAGGUUUCCGUAGGUGAACCUGCGGAAGGAUCAUUAUCAUAACGUAUCCACGUAUAAACUAACUUAAUUGAUGUGAAACGUAACUGUUUAACACCUCGAGAUAGUCAGAUGAUUGCUGUACUGUAUUGUUUGCGUGAUUAAAGCAAAAACGAUAGUAUGGACGUGCCUGUCACAGGGCUAGCGCUGAUUAUUUGGAGUGUAAAAUUUAAUCAUAUUAACCCAUUGAACCGAUUAACUAUUCUUAACUGAUAGUUAUUCAUUCUAAUUCUAUUGUCUGAACUGAAUUGUUACUUACUCCGACGCUGUCACAGGCGAAAGAGAAGUGAUUAUAUUUACGAAACAAUAAAUUUCUAUGAACAACUCUUAGCAACGGAUAUCUUGGUUCUCGUAACGAUGAAAAACGCAGC